UCUUCUGAAAAAAGGAUAAUAUUGCGAGUUAAUCUAAGAUUUUUCAUGUAUAAACGUUCAGAUAUCAGAUAUCACGGGGUCUUUCUGUUCGUUGGUGUAUACCUUCAAAUUAGAAAGGUCAACUGUAGGAAUAGAAAUUGAUGAAACUUGUAAAACACUUUGGAAAGAACUGCGCGCUGAUGCUGAUUGAAUGUGCGAAGUAUAUAGACAUAGUAGGAUGCUGAGAACGAUUAUUUAACGAGUGCUCGUUUUGUAAGAGAAACUUUUCGUCGCUUUGUGUGCCGGUAACGAUUGUGAUAAGCUUUAUGUUUUUGAUCCCACAAUAUUGGAUGCAAAACAAUUUCAUUAAUAAGUGUAUCUGGAUCAAUGUCCAUCGUUUAUUUCAAACAAACUAUUUUCAGAAAAAAUGCAAAACAGUAAAUAAGAAAACAGCAAACGGUAAUAAUCGCAAAAUGGAGUUCAAGUGAGCAACCACUACACAACCUGUUUUUGUCGCUUUGCUCUCGCCCUCUUGAAAUCGCUGAAAUUCGCUUUGGUGCUCGCUGUCACUUUGACAACUUUGAGAUGAAAAUAUAUAUGUAUGUAUGUACAUGCAGCGAUUUAAAGCUAGAAGUAGCAUCAGCUUCUCGCUUCCACUCGGACGCCAACGCUAAUAUAUUGUGAAGUUGCUACCACAACGCCUAAAAGUAUGCAAUAAAAGUGGGUAAAAUGGUCGUUAAGUUUUAAAAAUAAAUAAAUUUUGUUUCCUUGGUGGAAAUGCUAUUAAAAAU